GAUGAACGCUGGCGGCGUGCCUAAUACAUGCAAGUCGAGCGAACAGACGAGGAGCUUGCUCCCCUGACGUUAGCGGCGGACGGGUGAGUAACACGUGGAUAACCUACCUAUAAGACUGGGAUAACUUCGGGAAACCGGAGCUAAUACCGGAUAAUAUAUUGAACCGCAUGGUUCAAUAGUGAAAGACGGUUUUGCUGUCACUUAUAGAUGGAUCCGCGCCGCAUUAGCUAGUUGGUAAGGUAACGGCUUACCAAGGCAACGAUGCGUAGCCGACCUGAGAGGGUGAUCGGCCACACUGGAACUGAGACACGGUCCAGACUCCUACGGGAGGCAGCAGUAGGGAAUCUUCCGCAAUGGGCGAAAGCCUGACGGAGCAACGCCGCGUGAGUGAUGAGGGUCUUCGGAUCGUAAAACUCUGUUAUUAGGGAAGAACAAAUGUGUAAGUAACUAUGCACGUCUUGACGGUACCUAAUCAGAAAGCCACGGCUAACUACGUG
rnacentral:rRNA from 1 species